rnacentral:tRNA from 1 species
GCCAGGGUGGCGAAACUGGUAGACGCGCAGGUUUUAGGAACCUGUGGGGAAACCCUUGGAGGUUCGAGUCCUCUCCCUGGCA